AGAAUAAGUGCCAGUGAAGCUCUCAAGCACCCCUGGUUAUCAGACCACAAGCUCCAUGCCAGACUCAAGGCACAGACGAACUGCAGCUCCAAUGCUCAUAAUCUUGUGACCGAAUAGUCCAUGGAAGGCAUCCCCUUGAAAGGAAAGCUGCUGUGGUUGCUGCUGCAUUGAGAAGACUUUUGGAAAAAUCAGCAGUUCAGAUGACCCUUGGGAUGACUGGCAGCUGGCCGUAGCAGGGGAGCCCUUGAACUUGGAUGGGGAGUGCUAGUGCCCAUCCCUGGGGGUGCAGGCAGACCCCAGUCCUGCGUACUGCACGGUGGGGAGAUGUUUCCCUGCCUCCUUAUAUAUAUAUUUUAAUUUUCAUUCUUGUAAAAUUUUGGAUGUUAGUCACUGGGGUAGGGGUAUGUUAUGUCUGCUAUUUCUCGAAUUACUAGAGCAAUCAGAGUUGAGAUUUAAGAACCUGGAGCAUGCAUUCAGAGGCAGAAAGUGGCUUCCAGUCAUUCAACUGUGUCUCAGCGGUGAUUGUAUCUCUAGGAUACAAGGGCUUGGCACGCCCUUGAAAACUUCUUGAUUUGGUCUGAAAUCAGGUGAAUUCAAUGGGUAAAUAAUCUGCUAGCUGGAACAUACGCCUUUUUUGAAUGCUGAGGCAACAGGCAUCAGACGUUGUCUCUUCCAUUUACUCUGAAGUAACCCCCAAGCCCAUUGGUUUCUUCCAAGCAGCUGAUUCUGCUUUCAGAUCAGUCACGCUUUUUCACGGUGUGCUUCCUGUGUACAUCCGCUGGGCCACCCGUAAAUUGACGAAGACCAAUAACUGCUCCUGCACAGCCCCUGUGACCAGGAGGCUUGUGAAGAAAUAGCAGUCAGACACCAAAGGCGAAGGACCCUCUGCCUCAGCUUGCACGCUCUUUGAGUACAAUGAUUUUCCAUUGGGGGCUUCUUAUUCCUGAACGUUCCAGGCACUUCCUGACGGUUGUCUAACAAGGGGCAGGAGUGCUGCUGUGGUGGCAUUCAGGGCACAGAAAAGGCACUGAGAUGUACAGAGCAAAACAUGUGCCAUUUCCUUAUGAAGAAGGAGCGAUCCAGAGCCACCCCAGUCCUGCCGCACACUCCACACCACGCUCACUGCUCAGCCCCGGGACGUUCCUCAGUUUCCAUUUCCAAAUACUGCCCUGUUAGCAGGAUGUGGCUAAUGGCUGUGGUCCCAGCAGUCUGGGAAGCUGAGACAAGAGGAUCACAUGUUUGGGCCCAGCCUGAGCAAUUUAG